AUACAGAGGGUGCGAGCGUUAAUCGGAAUUACUGGGCGUAAAGCGCGCGUAGGCGGUCUAUUAAGUCAGAUGUGAAAUCCCAGGGCUCAACCUUGGAACUGCAUCUGAUACUGGUAGACUAGAGUUUUGGAGAGGGAAGUAGAAUUUCAGGUGUAGCGGUGAAAUGCAUAGAGAUCUGAAGGAAUACCAGUGGCGAAGGCGACUUCCUGGCCAAAAACUGACGCUGAGGUGCGAAAGCGAGGGUAGCAAACGGGAUUAGAAACCCUAGUAGUCC
rnacentral:rRNA from 1 species